GUGGGGAAUAUUGCACAAUGGGGGAAACCCUGAUGCAGCGACGCCGCGUGAGUGAAGAAGUAAUUCGUUACGUAAAGCUCUAUCAGCAGGGAAGAGAGUGACGGUACCUGAGUAAGAAGCCCCGGCUAACUACGUGCCAGCAGCCGCGGUAAUACGUAGGGGGCAAGCGUUAUCCGGAUUUACUGGGUGUAAAGGGAGCGUAGACGGCGAAGAAAGUCUGGAGUGAAAGCCCGCGGCUUAACCGCGGAACUGCUUUGGAAACUUUUUGGCUGGAGUACCGGAGAGGUAAGCGGAAUUCCUAGUGUAGCGGUGAAAUGCGUAGAUAUUAGGAGGAACACCAGUGGCGAAGGCGGCUUACUGGACGGUAACUGACGUUGAGGCUCGAAAGCGUGGGGAGCAAACAGGA
rnacentral:rRNA from 1 species